UCAGAUUGGUGUUCCUUGGUUGUCUGCUUAUAUUUAAGGAGGAGGAACUGAAUAUUCCACAUGCCUGCCUGACUGAGUUUGCGGUGGUGUUCCAGGCGCUUUGACACACAGUUUGGGAAUCAUGAUUUAGGG